ACCAUCUCUCUCUUUUCUCUCUCUCUCUCUCUCUCUACGAUCUACUCCCCCUUCACUCUCUCUACGAUAUGCUUUCCCAAACAAGAGUGAUCUAAUAACCAAACAAGAUUGAGUAAUAAACAAGUUGCAAGAUGCAAGAUCAAGAUGAAUUGAUCAAAGAUUGAUUAACACAACCACACCAAACUGCCACCAACAACAACCACACGACACCACCACAACCACCAGAUCUACCGUGAACUCGAAUCUCCAGUGGAAUCGGAAGGCGGCGAUUAGGGUUCAAUGACGAAGGGCCCUGAUACAGAGUGGGUGUUUGGAUGAUGAUGGUGGUAGGGGUGCGGGUGGGGGUUGUGCGAUGAGGUUAGGGUUCCGACCAAUGCUUACUCAAAACCACCUGAAUUUGUAAACGUUGGUGCUUUUUUUUUCUUUUGAUUUUGUCAUUAGUAAAGCUACAAAGUGGCUACGGAGAUUGUUGUAAUUGAUGUCAAUAAGGAUUCAAAGAUUCUUAAUGGAACUCAAAUGAGGUUGAUCACGGAGGACACUAAUUGAAGCGUCUCCAAGAGUUCACUUGGAGGGAUUUGAUGAUACUUCAUAUCAAUAUUGUUUUGGAUGGUUUGGGUGGUGGUGGUCGGCAGGUGGUGGUGGUGGUGGAAGUGUCUGAGCAGGCAGUGGUGGGUUGAUGGCAGAUUUGUUUUGUUUUAUUUUUUUAAAUAAUAUUAAAUAAAUGGAUAAAAAGACUAAACACCCUUGGGUAACCAGAUUUAACAAGAAAAUCUAACUGGAUUAGCACUAAAGGACAAAACGUGCAACAAUUUUCCCUAUAAUGUGCAAAACUUGUCAACAUUCGUUAAAAAGGAGGAUACCGUCUGAAAAAAGAUAUCAAAAAAAAUGACAAAACUUGUAAUUUUUCCUUUAAUUAUUUAGGAUAAUAAUAUGUUAAUAGAUUUUUACUAACCUUAAAAAAUAGAU